UACGUAGGUGGCAAGCGUUGUCCGGAUUUAUUGGGUUUAAAGGGUGCGUAGGCGGCUUUGUAAGUCAGUGGUGAAAUAUGGCAGCUCAACUGUCAAGGUGCCAUUGAUACUGCAGAGCUUGAGUACAGAUGAGGUAGGCGGAAUUGACGGUGUAGCGGUGAAAUGCUUAGAUAACGUCAAGAACACCUAUAGCGAAGGCAGCUUACUAGGCUGUAACUGACGCUGAGGCACGAAAGUGUGGGGAUCAAACAGG
rnacentral:rRNA from 1 species